rnacentral:rRNA from 1 species
UACGUAGGGUGCGAGCGUUGUCCGGAAUUAUUGGGCGUAAAGAGCUUGUAGGCGGUUUGUCGCGUCUGCCGUGAAAGCCCAGGGCUUAACCCUGGGUCUGCGGUGGGUACGGGCAGACUAGAGUGUGGUAGGGGAGACUGGAAUUCCUGGCGUAGCGGUGAAAUGCGCAGAUAUCAGGAGGAACACCGAUGGCGAAGGCAGGUCUCUGGGCCACUACUGACGCUGAGAAGCGAAAGCAUGGGGAGCGAACCGG